rfam:Felis catus isolate Cinnamon breed Abyssinian chromosome E1, whole genome shotgun sequence.
ACCUGGGUGGCUCAGUCGGUUAAGCGUCUGACUUUGGCUCAGGUCAUGAUCCCGUGGUUCGUGGGUUCGAGCCCCGCGUCGGGCU